CCUAGAAAUGUCCUCAGCCUUGGGUCACUCUCUUCUACCUCUGUACAUUAGUAAUUUAUAUCCUUACUUUUCUUUCCAAAUCUAGCUCCAACAACCUAUUCUAAAAAGCUUUCCCUAAUUGAUUUUAAUUAGUUUUGUUUGUUUGUUUGUUUUUUGAGAUGGGGUUUUGCUCUUGUUGCCCAGGCUGGAGUGCAUUGGCGCCAUCUCGGCUUAUUGCAACCUCUGCCUCCUGGGUUCAAGUGAUUCUCCUGCCUCAGCCUCCUGAGUAGCUGGGACUACAGGCAUGCACCACCACACCCAGCUAACUUUUGUAUUUUUAGUAGAGAUGGGGUUUCUCUGUGUUGGUCGGGCUGGUCUCAAACUCCAGACCUCAGGUGAUCUGCCUGCCUCGGCAUCCCAAAGUGCUGGGAUUACAGACGUGAGCCACUGUGCCUGGCCUAGUGUGGUUUUCAUUUAUUUUAUUUUAUUUAUUUAUUUAUUUUUUUGAGACGGAGUCUCACUCUUUCGCCCAGGCCGGACGCAGUGGCACUAUCUUGGCUCAGUGCAAGCUCCGCCUCCAGGGUUCACACCAUUCUCCUGCCUCAGCCUCCCGGGUAGCUGGGACUACAGGCGCCCACCACCACGCCCAGCUAAUUUUUUGUAUUUUUAGUAGAGACGGGUUUCACCGUGCUAGCCAGGAUGGUCUCGAUCUCCUGACCUAGUGAUCCGCCCACCUUGGCCUCCCCAGGUGCUGGGAUUACAGGCAUGAGCCACCGCGCCCGGCCUGGUUUUAAAUUAAUAUGGUUUACUUGAUAGUUUCAAAGUACUUCUUUUUUUUUUUUUUUUUUUUUUUUUUGAGACAGGCCUCACUCCGUUGCCCAGGCUGGAGUGCAGUGGUGUGAUGACUGAGGCUCACUACAGCUUGGAUCUCCCAGGCUUAGGUGAUCCUCCCAUCUCAGCCUCACACAGAUGCACACCACCACACCCAGCUACUUUUUUAUAUUUUUUUUGUAGAGACGGGGUCUUGCCAUGUUGCCCAGGCUGGUCUCGAACUCCUGUGCUCAAGUGAUCUGCCUGCCUUGGCCUCCAAGAGUGCUGGGAUUACAGCUCCGACUCAGAUUUUGAACGGAUGUUUGCAUGUAUACCACAGUGCUACAUUAAAAACCAGUCAUGUGGAUGUGGAGAAGGGUGCUGAUCAGGACUCCCUGUUUGCUAACAAAUUCUACAGCAGAAACAAAGUAUUAAGGUUUGCAGCCAGGAAGCAAGUGCAUGGGGAAUAAGCCUGCAGCUUCUUCCAAAUGAGACAGAGCCAAAUCUUUUUUCUGAGUCUGUUUUCUUCAUUUCUAUUAAACCAAGGUCCUUUUUAAGCAGUCGAAUUUCAUCCAAA